AAAACCCGCUAAAAUAAGUAACAACAAAACCCUCCCUACUUCUGGUCUUCCGUGCGGUCCUUCAAAAUAAAUGUCUGCUUCAGAGUAAAACAUACCGUAGCUAGGGAUGAACGAUUAACGGUUUAAAGGUAAAGCAUGGUAGAAUUCCUGACAGUUGAUAUUAGGCUACCGUUUCAAAACUUAACUAUCACUAAAACCGUGAUAACUGUUUGAUUUGACACUUUCACAGUAAAUUUGUCCAGAAUCAACCAGAGUUAAUAACACCCUCCCAGGCACAGGUGUAGUCUCCUUUAUAGUCAACCCCCAUCACUCCUUCUUGUCGUCACUUUGAAUACCCAAAGGCACUUUUAAGAGCCACAUCCAUCUAUCUAUCUAUCUAUCUAUCUAUCUAUCUAUCUAUCUAUCUAUCUAUCUGCCUGUCUAUCUGCCUGUCUGUCUGCCUGUCUGUCUGUCAGUCUGCCUGUCUGGGUCCGUCUGUCGGUCUGUCUGUCAGUCUGUCUGUCUGGGUCAAUCUGUUUGUGUUGCAAUGGCCACGAGACGUACCAUUGACCGCCAGCAUCCCAGCUACAAAGAGGGGAAACGUAUGGCGCUUGACAUGAAACAAGACCACAUUCUAGCUGAAGCCAAGAGAGCAGUUGAGGAGAGGAAACGGGCACGUUCUGGUGGAGAACAUCCAUGUAGCUCCAACAGUGACUGCGCCAGACGAGGCAAGCCAAGGGGGAGGCGUGGAGGGCGACGCAAAGCCUCAGCUACAGUCACAUUCCCCCCAGCUGAGUGCUCCCUGUCAUCCAAUGUGGACGUUCCACUUACUGCACCCUCAGCACAACUAAAUCCUCAAGAGGCAUUUGAAAAGUUCAUGGAUAGGCUUUCAUCUCUAAAUGCCUCAAGUCCUUCUGCCGAGCCUCAAAGAAGCUCUGCAUUGUCAUGGACUUUUCGGCAGCAGAAAGCCUCAGAGCGCUGGAAAGAAGCCCGACCAUACCACCUACAAUGCCUCAUUGAAAAGGAGGCUGUUGGUCAUCCCUUGUGUUGCCUCUGCCACAAGCCUGCUGUUAUUAGGUGCAGAGAGUGUCUCCCUGAAGAGUGGUUCUGUGGGGACUGCGAUGUACUGCAUCACAAAAAACAGCCACUCCACAACAGGGAAUGUCUGAUACGUGGGUUUUUUGAACCCAUUCCUCCAACCACACAUGUCAUUAGAGGGGAGGGUGGAUAUUACACUCAGGAGCAAGCUUGCAUCUUGCCAACUGUGAGAGUGUCAAACUGCGUCUGUGACGGCACAACCUUCACUGUGUUACCAGGCAAACCAGUGAUUUUAAUUACCAUCAAUGGGCGUUAUGACUUGCAUCAGCCACUGUAUGUAUGUCAGACGUGCCAGCAGCAGUGGACCCCUGACAUGAAGGACCUCCUUGGGAGUGGAUAUUGGCCAGCCUCUGUCAAUACUUCCACGCUGUACACGUUGGACCUCUUGAGCUCCUUUCAGGAACUCA
rnacentral:lncRNA from 15 species